UCCUCAUUAGUAUAGUGGUGAGUAUCCCCGCCUGACAUGUGGGAGACUGGGGUUUGAUUCCUGGAUGGGGUG
rfam:Ovis aries breed Texel chromosome 4, whole genome shotgun sequence.